AUACACAUGCAAGUAUCCGCACCCCUGUGAAAACGCCCUUUACUCCCCCUCGGGACAAGGAGCUGGUAUCAGGCUCGAAAUUCUGCCCAAAACACCUAGCUACGCCACACCCACAAGGGAACUCAGCAGUGAUUAACAUUAAGCAUAAGCGAUAGCUUGACUUAGCUAAAGUAAAAAGAACCGGCAAAUCUGGUGCCAGCCGCCGCGGUUACACCACGUGGUUCAGAUUGACUUCUUCCGGCGUAAAGCGUGAUUAAAGUAUUAAAUAUUUGAAGUUGAACAUAAAUUAAGCUGUGACACGCUUAUUUAUAAGAAAACCAAAAACGAAGGUUACUUCAAUUUUCCCAACUUGAAUUCACGACAGUUAGGAUACAAACUGGGAUUAGAUACCCCACUAUGCCUAAACCGUAAACUUUAACUUACAUCUCAAUCGCCAGGGAACUACGAGCAAAGCUUAAAACCCAAAGGACUUGACGGUACCCCACACCCACCUAGAGGAGCCUGUCCUAUAAUCGAUAAUCCCCGUUUAACCUCACCACCUCUAGCUUUUCAGCCUGUAUACCUCCGUCGUCAGCUUACCACGUGAGCGAAUAUUAGUGAGCUUAAUGUCUUUACAUCAAUACGUCAGGUCAAGGUGCAG
rnacentral:rRNA from 1 species